UACGUAGGGAGCAAGCGUUGUCCGGAAUCAUUGGGCGUAAAGAGCUUGUAGGCGGUUUGUCGCGUCUGCCGUGAAAAUUCGAGGCUCAACCUCGAACUUGCGGUGGGUACGGGCAGACUAGAGUGUGGUAGGGGAGACUGGAAUUCCUGGUGUAGCGGUGAAAUGCGCAGAUAUCAGGAGGAACACCGAUGGCGAAGGCAGGUCUCUGGGCCACUACUGACGCUGAGAAGCGAAAGCAUGGGGAGCGAACAGG
rnacentral:rRNA from 1 species